rnacentral:rRNA from 1 species
UACAGAGGGUGCAAACGUUGUUCGGAAUUACUGGGCAUAAAGAGCACGUAGGUGGUUCGUUAAGUCACGUGUGAAAUCCCUCAGCUUAACUGGGGAACUGCGUGUGAUACUGGAUGGCUUGGAUUUGGGAGAGGGAUGCGGAAUUCCAGGUGUAGCGGUGAAAUGCGUAGAUAUCUGGAGGAACACCGGUGGCGAAGGCGGCAUCCUGGACCAAUAUUGACGCUGAGGAGCGAAAGCAAGGGGAGCAAACGGG